GGCGCGGUUCGCAAGAAAGCCGGCCGCUCCGGUCGAGGUUGUUAAAAUCCGGGCCGUCAAGGCGGGGGCGACUGCUGCCAAGCAGAAAACUUCCCGGCCUUCAAAGCGCGCGACGGCGGGCAGCCGCGCGCGCGCUUAACGGACCGACUCCGGCCCCAUCACCAGAUCGGGCAACCAUGUUGAGAUGCCGGGGAAGAAGCACAGCAACAGCACGGCGAAGAACAUCA
rnacentral:misc_RNA from 1 species